rnacentral:rRNA from 1 species
UACGUAGGGUGCAAGCGUUAAUCGGAAUUCCUGGGCGUAAAGCGUGCGCAGGCGGCUUUGCAAGACAGAUGUGAAAUCCCCGGGCUUAACCUGGGAACUGCAUUUGUGACUGCAUGGCUGGAGUGCGGCAGAGGGGGAUGGAAUUCCGCGUGUAGCAGUGAAAUGCGUAGAUAUGCGGAGGAACACCGAUGGCGAAGGCAAUCCCCUGGACCGGUACUGACGCUAAUGCACGAAAGCGUGGGGAGCAAGCAGG